rnacentral:rRNA from 1 species
UCGGGUUGUAAAGCACUUUCAGCGAGGAGGAAGGGUUAAGUGUUAAUAGCACUGAACAUUGACGUUACUCGCAGAAGAAGCACCGGCUAACUCCGUGCCAGCAGCCGCGGUAAUACGGAGGGUGCAAGCGUUAAUCGGAAUUACUGGGCGUAAAGCGCACGCAGGCGGUUUGUUAAGUCAGAUGUGAAAUCCCCGAGCUUAACUUGGGAACUGCAUUUGAAACUGGCAAG